AGCUAGGGCCUGAUCUAAAGCCCACUGAAGUCAGUGGAAGUCUCUCCAUUGAGUUCAGUGGGCUUUGGAUCAGCCUCUUGAGCU
rnacentral:pre_miRNA from 1 species